rnacentral:tRNA from 1 species
GCCUGAGUGGCUCAGUUGGUUGGGUGCAUGACUUUGGCUCGGGUCAUGAUCUCAAGGUUUGUGGGUUCGAGCCCUGCGUCAGGCU